rnacentral:rRNA from 1 species
AUUGAACGCUGGCGGCAGGCCUAACACAUGCAAGUCGAGCGAGCGGCGGACGGGGGAGUAAUGUCUGGGAAACUGCCUGAUGGAGGGGGAUAACUACUGGAAAAGGUAUCUAAUACCGCAUACCAUGAGAUGAGCCCAGAUGGUAUUAGCUAGUAGGUGGGGUAACGGCUCACCUAGGCGACGAUCCCUAGCUGGUCUGAGAGGAUGACCAGCCACACUGCAACUGAGACACGCUCCAGACUCCUACGUGAGGCAGCAUUCAGGAAUAUUGCACAAGUGGCGCAAGCCUGAUGCAGCCAUGCCGCGUGUAUGAAGAAGUCCUUCGGGUUGUAAAGUACUUUCAGCGGGGAGGCGUUACCCGCAGAAUAAGCACCGGCUAACUCCGUGCCAGCCGCCGCGGUAAUUC